AUUGAACGCUGGCGGGAGGCUUAACACAUGCAAGUCGAACGAGUGGCGGACGGGUGAGUAAUGUCUGGGAAACUGCCCGAUGGCGGGGGAUAACUACUGGAAAGGGUAGCUAAUACCGCAUACCAUUAGAGGUGCCGAGAUGGGAGUAGCUUGUUGGUGGGGUAACGGCUCACCAAGGCGACGAUCCCUAGCUGGUCUGAGAGGACGACCAGCCACACUGGAACUGAGACACGGUCCAGACUCCUACGGGAGGCAGCAGUGGGGAAUAUUGCACAAUGGGCGCAAGCCUGAUGCAGCCAUGCCGCGUGUAUGAAGAAGGCCUUCGGGUUGUAAAGUACUUUCAGCGGGGAGGCGGUACCCGCAGAAGAAGCACCGGCUAACUCCGUGCCAGCAGCCGCGGUAAUUC
rnacentral:rRNA from 1 species